rnacentral:rRNA from 1 species
GACGAACGCUGGCGGCGUGCUUAACACAUGCAAGUCGAACGGAAAGGCCCUGCUCUUGUGGGGUGCUCGAGUGGCGAACGGGUGAGUAACACGUGAGUAACCUGCCCUUGUCUUUGGGAUAACUUCAGGAAACUGGGGCUAAUACCGGAUAGGAGCUCCUGCUGCAUGGUGGGGGUUGGAAAGUUUCGGCGGUUGGGGAUGGACUCGCGGCUUAUCAGCUUGUUGGUGGGGUAGUGGCUUACCAAGGCUUUGACGGGUAGCCGGCCUGAGAGGGUGACCGGCCACAUUGGGACUGAGAUACGGCCCAGACUCCUACGGGAGGCAGCAGUGGGGAAUAUGGCACAAUGGGCGGAAGCCUGAUGCAGCAACGCCGCGUGCGGGAUGACGGCCUUCGGGUUGUAAACCGCUUUCGCCUGUGACGAAGCGUGAGUGACGGUAAUGGGUAAAGAAGCACCGGCUAACUACGUG